rnacentral:rRNA from 1 species
ACUCCUACGGGAGGCAGCAGUAGGGAAUCUUCCACAAUGGACGAAAGUCUGAUGGAGCAACGCCGCGUGAGUGAAGAAGGGUUUCGGCUCGUAAAGCUCUGUUGGUAGUGAAGAAAGAUAGAGGUAGUAACUGGCCUUUAUUUGACGGUAAUUACUUAGAAAGUCACGGCUAACUACGUGCCAGCAGCCGCGGUAAUA